ACUGGUACGGACGAGAAACGUCGCCGGUCGUAUUGUACGACGUUUCCAAAUCGAGAAACGCCGUACGGUACGACCGACGAUGUUUCUCGGCCAUACUGUACCUGU
rnacentral:pre_miRNA from 1 species